UUAAUUUGAGAGUUUGAUCCUGGCUCAGGACGAACGCUGGCGGCGUGCCUAAUACAUGCAAGUCGAACGAACUUUGGUAUUGAUUGGUGCUUGCAUCAUGAUUUACAUUUGAGUGAGUGGCGAACUGGUGAGUAACACGUGGGAAACCUGCCCAGAAGUGGGGGAUAACACCUGGAAACAGAUGCUAAUACCGCAUAACAACUUGGACCGCAUGGUCCGAGUUUGAAAGAUGGCUUCGGCUAUCACU
rnacentral:rRNA from 1 species